GCAAGACGAACGAAGAGGCCCCUUCGGGGGUACUUCAGUGGCGGACGGGUGAGUAACACGUAGGCGACCUGCCCCGAAGCAGGGGAUAACGGCCCGAAAGGGCCGCUAAUACCCAAAAGGGUCACGAGUCAUAUCGUGAUCAGAGUUACGGCGUUUCGGGAGGGGCCUGCGGCCCAUCAGCUAGUUGGUAGGGUAACGGCCUACCAAGUCGACGACGGGUAGGGGGCCUGAGAGGGUGAUCCCCCACAUUGGCACUGACACACGGGCCAAAUUCCUACGGGAGGCAGCAGUGAGGAAUAUUGCACAAUGAGCGAAAGCUAGAUGCAGCAACGCCGCGUGGACGACGAAGGCCUUCGGGUCGUAAAGUCUUUUUCAGGGGGACGAGUGAGGACGGUACCUCUGGAAUAAGUCACGGCUAACUACGUGCCAGCAGCCGCGGUAAAACGUAGGUGGCGAGCGUUAUCCGGAUUCACUGGGCGUAAAGCGCCUGCAGGCGGUCUCGUAAGUGGGAUGUGAAAUCUCUUGGCUCAACUGGGAGGGGCCAUUCCAUACUGCGGGACUGGAGGGCAGAAGAGGGAAGCGGAAUUCCCGGUGUAGUGGUGAAAUGCGUAGAUAUCGGGAGGAACACCAGUGGCGAAGGCGGCUUCCUGGCCUGCUCCAGACGCUAAGAGGCGAAAGCUAGGGGAGCGAACGGGAUUAGAAACCCCGGUAGUCCUAGCCGUAAACGAUGGAUACUGGGUGUCGGCGGUCCUAACCCCGUCGGUGCCGAAGCAAACGCGUUAAGUAUCCCGCCUGGGGACUACGGCCGCAAGGUUAAAACUCAAAGGAAUUGACGGGACCCCGCACAAGCAGCAGCGUGUGGUUUAAUUCGAUCUACACGAAGAACCUUACCCAGGUUUGACAUGCAAGUAGUAGUGAAGCGAAAGCGGAACGACCCGCAAGGGAGCUUGCACAGGUGCUGCAUUGCUGUCGUCAGCUCGUGCCGUGAGGUGUUGGGUUAAGUCCCCUAACGAGCGCAACCCUCGUCGUCAGUUACAUGUGUCUGGCGAGACUGCCGGUCUAAAGCCGGAGGAAGGUGGGGAUGAUGUCAAGUCAGCAUGGCCUUUAUAUCUGGGGCUACACACACGCUACAAUGGCCAGUACAAUGGGUCGCCAACCCGCGAGGGGGAGCCAAUCCUAAAAAGCUGGUCUCAGUUCGGAUUGCAGGCUGCAACCCGCCUGCAUGAAGUCGGAGUUGCUAGUAAACGCAGGUCAGCCAUACUGCGUUGAAUACGUUCCCGGGGUUUGUACACACCGCCCGUCACGUCAUGGGAGCUGGUAACACCUGAAGCCGGUGCGCUAACCGCAAGGGGGCAGCCGUCGAGGGUGGGACUGGUGACUGGGACGAAGUCGUAACAAGGUA
rnacentral:rRNA from 1 species